rnacentral:misc_RNA from 1 species
AUUUAGCAUAUUGGUCUUGGCUCUCUCCAACAAGUAUGUGUGCUUUUAGUUCUUUGAUUGGUGGUGGUGGUUAGGCCAUCACUCAUUGCAUUUUUAUCUAUGAACAUUUAAAUAUAAAUUUGUUUGAAAGGCUUCUUGUAGUUUUGGUUACAUUAUGGCAUUGCAAUUGGCAUAAGCUCAAGCUUUUUUCAGCAAGUUUCUAUUUUCCCCCUCAGUCAGAGUGAUUUGCCCUCAUGGGACUACCACUACUAGAAUGCUGUAAUAAAACUAAGUUGUAGUUGGUACUCGUAGAUGGUUCAUACACAAUAUGUUUUAAUAAUUUUUUGUACUGGGAUAAAAUUUUACCUGAUAUCAAAUGGACAAAACACUAGGAUGUUAAUGCUUUUUGAUAAAAUGAAGUGUAAUAGGAAGAAAUUCUUGAAUGGUUUAUAUUCUCGGAAUCUGUGUAUAUGGAUUGAUUGGGAGCAAGAAUAGUCAUAGACUCAUUGCUACUGAUGUUGGAGUUUCAUUGGUUGUAAUCUUUCUGGAAUUGUUGAUAUGGCUGCUUGAAUUGAUUUGAUGUGCCUAAAAUACUGGAAUUGAUGCUUGGAGGAGUUUUUUCAUCUUAUUGGCAGGCAUAAAAAGUCCUAUUUUUGUAAUGAAUGUUGAAAGGGAAAUGAAAAUAUAACAUCUACAUGUGCAAGUGCAACAGUCCAAGCAUGAGUAAUGUUAUUAUUUGCAUCUUGACAUCUUGAAAAGUGAAUUAUCCUCCGUAAGUUAUGUAGUUGUUUUAAGAUUUUCCUAGUUUAGAGGGGUUUCUUAACAUUUUUAUUCUUUAUCCUUAUUAGUGGACUUGAUGAAAGAGGG